rnacentral:rRNA from 1 species
AGACGUAGGGCGCGAGCGUUGUCCAGAUUUAUUGGGCGUAAAGAGCUCGUAGGCGGCUUGUUGCGUCGUCCGUGAAAACCUGGGGCUCAACUCCAGGCUUGCGGUCGAUACGGGCAGGCUAGAGUUCGGUAGGGGAGACUGGAAUUCCUGGUGUAGCGAUGAAAUGCGCAGAUAUCAGGAGGAACACCGGUGGCGAAGGCGGGUCUCUGGGCCGAUACUGACGCUGAGGAGCGAAAGCGUGGGGAGCGAACAGGAUUAGAUACCCUGGUAGUCCACGCUGUAAACGUUGGGCGCUAGGUGUGGGGGGCCUCUCCGGUUUCCUGCGCCGUAGCUAACGCAUUAAGCGCCCCGCCUGGGGAGUACGGCCGCAAGGCUAAAACUCAAAUGAAUUGACGGGG